CUGAAUUCCUCCGUGCAGGAGAAAACUGCACCCACUGAUGAUGGUUGACACUUGUAGACCAUUUACGGGGACCAAACAGUGGAUGUGAGAAUGAUCAGGUGGUGGCUCAUGUGUUUCAGCAGUGGCAACAGUGUGUCACCUCUGAUGGUGCAAAUUGUUAAAAGCAUGCUGCUCUUGUUCAUCACUGGUGGAGAUGGAUACCAAUUGUAGAGGCCGUGUUGAAGGGCUGUGUUUUGCAGCUGAGAAUUUGUUCCAUCAAAUAGUUUUAUAGGCCUCUUUGUUUCCACAGAGAGAAACAGGAGGCAUUACUUUCAAAGCAACCUACUUGUAUGUGAUAUCUUAAAUAGAAAUAGGGCUUGUUUUCUUCACUUUUCUUCUGUUUUCUUUUUUUUCUUGUUUUGGCAUUAUUUACACAUAAGCUACCAACAAUACCAAGAUGAGAAAAAGGAAACUGAACUGACAAAGCAUAUGACAAUAUUAUCUGGAAUUAACACUACUACAGUUGUGGAUUGAAAUAAUUCUCCUGGACAAGAAAUAAAACAAAAAUGAAGACAAAAACAUCCACCCCAGUAAAGAAAAGCAAGGACAGCAGCAGAGCCAGUGCAGGCAAAAAAUCAGUACUAGAAGCACAGCAACAGAGGACAAAGCAGAAGGAUGAGGGCUGCCCCUUGCAUAGCUGUAUACCUGGUCCUGCUGCUCACUACCACUUCCUGUGAUGCACAGCCUCCCAUCGUCUACCUUUUGAUUUCUUCAGCUACACAACAUAAAAGAAGAGAAUUACAACAAUAUAGACACAAGAAAAUUAAUUCCUGUCAUAGAAGGUGACAAGAAUUAUGAGGAAAAAAACAGUAAGGAACUUCACAACCUUAAUGUAACUGAACUCAAUUCUGGAAAGAGCAGCAGCAUCCCAAAUCGUCAGUGCAUAUAUUAGUUAAAAAAUAGAUUUGGAGAAGUGCUAUAAUUUAAUACUUUAAAUUUCACCAGCUUGCUGGUGAAAGUGAUACAGCAAAGGAAAAGUUACUUGAGCUACAUACUUCAGCUCUGUUCACAAAUAAUCAAUGCCCAAUUUAAAAGAACUAUUUUUUUCCACUCUACCUUGUUUUAUGGGGCUUCAUUAUUUUA